rnacentral:rRNA from 1 species
AGAGUUUGAUCCUGGCUCAGGAUGAACGCUGGCGGCGUGCUUAACACAUGCAAGUCGAACGGAGUUUAUAUGAAACCUAGUGAUUAUAACUUAGUGGCGGACGGGUGAGUAACGCGUGGGUAACCUGCCUUAUCCAGGGGGAUAACAGUGAGAAAUUACUGCUAAUACCGCAUAAGCGCACAGAAUCGCAUGAUUCAGUGUGAAAGAUUUAUCGGGAUAAGAUGGACCCGCGUCUGAUUAGCUAGUUGGUGAGGUAACGGCCCACCAAGGCGACGAUCAGUAGCCGGCCUGAGAGGGUGAACGGCCACAUUGGGACUGAGACACGGCCCAAACUCCUACGGGAGGCAGCAGUGGGGAAUAUUGCACAAUGGGGGAAACCCUGAUGCAGCGACGCCGCGUGAGUGACGAAGUAUUUCGGUAUGUAAAACUCUAUCAGCAGGGAAGAAAAUGACGGUACCUGACUAAGAAGCCCCGGCUAACUACGUGCCAGCAGCCGC